AUGAAGACGGUGAGCCUCGGCGCCCCGCGAUCCUCCACUGUGAAGUUCCGCAUGCCGACGAGGGACAACCUGGUGCCGAUACGCGUCGACAUCGAGGUGGACGGCCAGCGCUACAGGGAUGCCUUCACCUGGAACCCCCGCGAUCCCGACUCGGAGGUCAUCACCUUCGCCAAGAGGACGGCCAAGGAGCUCAAGCUUCCGGCCACCUUCGUCCCACAGAUGCUCCAGUCCAUCCAGGGGCAAUUGGCAGAGUUCCGUUCCUACGAGGGGCAGGAGAUGCAGGUCAAGGAGAAGAUUAUGCCCCUCAAGAUUGACCUCCGAGUGAACAAUACGACAAUUAGAGAUCAGUUCUUGUGGGAUAUAGGCAACCUUGAAAGUGAUCCUGAGGAAUUUGCAAGGACGUUAUGUGAUGAUUUGAACAUUACAGAUCCUGAAGUUGGGCCUGCAAUAGCUGUUUGCAUCCGUGAGCAACUUUAUGAGAUUGCUAGCCAGACUGUUUCUGCUAUGAGAGAAGCUAAAAUGUCAAAGAAAAGGCGAGCACCAGAAUUUGCCUCUAAUAGUAAAGCCAUGAACAACGCAGUGGAUAUGUUCAAGUAUUUUGGGAGCAAAGGAAGCGUCAUUCGGAAAAAGAAGGAGUGGUACCUGUACGAGCCUGUUGUAGAUGUCGUGCCUAAAGAGGAAGCUGCAGUUGUGGAUGCAAAGGAGCAGCUGAAAUAA
rnacentral:rRNA from 1 species